rnacentral:rRNA from 1 species
UACGGGGGGGGGCAAGCGUUGUUCGGAAUUACUGGGCGUAAAGGGCCAGUAGGCGGCCAACUAAGUCCGACGUGAAAUCCCUCGGCUUAACCGAGGAACUGCAUCCGAUACUGGCGGGCUUGAAUCCGGGAGAGGGAUGUGGAAUUCCAGGUGUAGCGGUGAAAUGCGUAGAUAUUGGGGAGAACGAUCGGUGCGAAGGCGGCUACCUGGACGGGUACUGACGCUGAUGCGCGAAAGCUAGGGGAGCAAACAGG